CCACAACUUUAUUAAAUUUCAAAUGUGGGUAGACCUUGGCUCAGGCAUUGGGCGUUCUCCCUCCCCAGUCCCCAGCCGGGGACCUAGGGAGCUUCAGGGUUAUCCAGUGUGUGUGUGGGGGAUGGGCCGGCUCUGGAGAACAUAUGUUCAAGCAGAGAUAGCCGCCCCCGUUACGCCGCUGCCGCAGGGGAGAGCAAUGACGACCUUUCGGCGUACGGUCAAAGCCUCCCUUCAGAAACCCCUUUAACGGGGAACCCUGGUAUCGCCGCCGCAAAGAGGAAGAUGGACCAAAGGAUUCCGCCCAAGGCCUGAUACCGCCAAAGUUGUGACGUUUUGCUACGGGAAAGGCGAAACCUGCCAAUGCAGGGAAAUUCCUUUCCGGCCCUUUAACAGCGACCUUAACGUAGCAGCGCCCGCAUACCUGUGAAGAAAAGUUAACCUGCAAAACCUAUGAAGAAAAGUU